UCCUCGCUCAAAGAAUCGCAUUCAAAGCUUACGCACAGAAGAAAGCCUUUCUCAGGGCCUUCUUCAAACCACACCCUCUAGCUUUGGGAGAAAGUCCCCGGACACCCUGCGCCCUCGGGCUUUUCACCCACGGGGUUCUUUUUGUUACCAAAAAGCCAGGCAAUGCGGAAACGCGCCGCCAUAGAAGCAUAUUUCAUUGCGGCUUAAUGCCUUUCUCUUCUUCUUCUCUUUUCUUUAAGGAGGAAGACCUCCCCUUUCCAUCCCGACUUUGCAGAAGUUUCGAUUUCUGCUGAGGUAACAAUGGUGGCUGGAUUGGAUGGGCCAGUUUUUGCUGGCGGGGAUUGGUUGCUAUUCGUCGUGGUUGGAUAGUCAUGCGAUUGCUCUUUUUUUGUAUAUACGCCUUUAACAGGGUGUGUGUAUGAUUUUUGAGUAACUCGAUGGGGCUUAUUCUUGAGGCGAGG
rfam:Paracoccidioides brasiliensis Pb18 unplaced genomic scaffold supercont2.5, whole genome shotgun sequence.